rnacentral:rRNA from 1 species
GAAAGUAAGUAAGGGCGUAUGGGGGAUGCCUAGGCUCUUGGAGGCUAAGAAGGACGUGGUAAGCUGCGAACACACCGCGAGGUGAGCUAACCCUCUGAACUGAAACAUCUAAGUAGGAGGAGGAAAAGAAAGAAACAUCGAUUUCCAAAGUAGCGGCGAGCGAAAUGGAAGAAGCCCAAACCGAUAUUGUUACGGCAAUAUCGGGGUUGUAGGACUGCAAUAUUCAAUUAACAAUGAACUGGAAUGGUCUGGAAAGUCCAUCCAUAGAGAGUGAAAGGCUCGUACAGGUAAGUUUGUUAUGCGAAAGCAGUAUCCUGAGUAUGGCGGGACACGAGGAAUCCUGUCAGAAUCAGCCGGGACCACCCGGUAAGGCUAAAUACUCCCAAGAGACCGAUAGUGGACCAGUACUGUGAAGGAAAGGUGAAAAGAACCCCGAACAGGGGAGUGAAAUAGAACCUGAAACCAUACGCUUACAACCGGUCGGAGCAGCUUCGUGCUGUGACGGCGUGCCUAUUGAAUAAUGAGCCUACGAGUUACUAAUCACUAGCGAGGUUAAGUGCAAGGAUGCACGGAGCCGAAGCGAAAGCGAGUCUGAACAGGGCGUUUAGUUAGUGGUUGUAGACGCGAAACCUUGCGAUCUACCCUUGAGCAGGUUGAAGGUUGGGUAAAACCAACUGGAGGACCGAACGAAUAAGCGUUGAAAAGCUUCUCGAUGACUUGAGGGUAGGGGUGAAAGGCUAAUCAAGCUGGGAAAUAGCUCGUACUCCCCGAAAUGCCUUUUGGGGCAGCGUUGUAAUAAAGAGUCUACUGGAGGUAGAGCUACUGAUUGGAUGCGGGGGCUUCACCGCCUACCAAAUCCUGACAAACUCCGAAUGCCAGUAGUAUGAUUUACAGCAGUGAGUGACUGGGUGCUAAUGUCCAGUCGCAAAAGAGGAACAACUCAGACCAGCAACUAAGGUCCCGAAGAAUAUGCUAAGUUGAUCUAACGAUGUUUUGUUGCAGAGACAGCUAGGAUGUUAGCUUGGAAGCAGCUAUUCAUUCAAAGAGUGCGUAACAGCUCACUAGUCGAGCGACAGAGCGUGGAUAAUAAACGGGCAUCAAGCAUAUCACCGAAGUUCUGGGCGCGAGAGCGCGGUAGGGGAGCAUUCCAUUCAGCGUCGAAGCAGUUUCGUGAGGAAUUGUGGAGCGUAUGGAAAAGCAAAUGUAGGCAUGAGUAACGAUAAUGCGGGAGAGUAACCCGCACACCGCAAGACCAAGGUUUCCUGAUCAACGCUAAUCGGAUCAGGGUUAGUCGGGUCCUAAGGGUAAGCCGAACGGCGAUCUCGAUGGAUAAUCGGUUAAUAUUCCGAUACUAACAUAUACCUCGAUGGAGAGACGAAGGAACGUAAGUGCCGCCACCUGACGGAAUAGGUGGUUAAAGGGCGUAGGUAUAGGGGCAGAUUAAGAGUUAGUCCUUGCUGAAACCUGACAGUACAGAGAGCCUACGGGCAAUUUGAUAGAGCACCCAAGUCGACUUCCGAGAAAAUCUUCUAAGUUAUAGUAUAUGUUACCCGUACCGUAAACCGACACAGGUGGUCGAGGAGAGUAUCCUAAGGUGCUCGAGUGAAUCACGGUUAAGGAACUAGGCAAAUUAACCCCGUAACUUCGGGAAAAGGGGUCCCUAUGAAAGUAGGGCGCAGCGAAGAGGUCCAGGCGACUGUUUAUCAAAAACACAGGGCUCUGCAAAUUCGAAAGAAGACGUAUAGGGCCUGACACCUGCCCGGUGCUGGAAGGUUAAGAGGGGAUGUCAUCGCAAGAGAAGCAUUGAAUCGAAGCCCCAGUAAACGGCGGCCGUAACUAUAACGGUCCUAAGGUAGCGAAAUUCCUUGUCGGGUAAGUUCCGACCUGCACGAAUGGUGUAACGAUCUGGACACUGUCUCAACCGUGAGCUCGGUGAAAUUGUAGUCCCGGUGAUGA